rnacentral:misc_RNA from 1 species
GAUGAAGAACGGAGCGAAAUGCGAUAAGUAGUGUGAAUUGCAGAAUUCAGUGAAUCAUCGAAUCUUUGAACGCACAUUGCGCCCCUUGGUAUUCCGGGGGGCAUGCCUGUCCGAGCGUCAUUGCUGCCCUCAAGCACGGCUUGUGUGUUGGGCCCCGUCCUCCGAUCCCGGGGGACGGGCCCGAAAGGCAGCGGCGGCACCGCGUCCGGUCCUCGAGCGUAUGGGGCUUUGUCACCCGCUCUGUAGGCCCGGCCGGCGCUUGCCGAUCAACCCAAAUUUUUAUCCAGGUUGACCUCGGAUCAGGCAGGGAUACCCGCUGAACUUAAGCAUAUCAAUAAGCGGAGGA